rnacentral:rRNA from 1 species
CGCAGCCUGAUCCAGCAAUGCCGCGUGCAGGAAGAAGGCCUUCGGGUUGUAAACUGCUUUUGUACGGAACGAAAAGGUCUGGGUUAAUACCCUGGGCUCAUGACGGUACCGUAAGAAUAAGCACCGGCUAACUACGUGCCAGCAGCCGCGGUAAUACGUAGGGUGCAAGCGUUAAUCGGAAUUACUGGGCGUAAAGCGUGCGCAGGCGGUUUUGUAAGACAGGCGUGAAAUCCCCGGGCUCAACCUGGGAAGGGCGCUUGUGACUGCAAAGCUGGAGUGCGUGAGAGGGGCAUGGAAUUCCGCGUGUAUGACUGAAGUGCGCACAUUUGCGGAGGAAUUCCAAUGGCCAAAGGAAUCCCCUGGGCCUG